AGUGAACGCUGGCGGUAGGCCUAACACAUGCAAGUCGAACGGCAGCACAGGAGAGCUUGCUCUCUGGGUGGCGAGUGGCGGACGGGUGAGGAAUACAUCGGAAUCUACUCUGUCGUGGGGGAUAACGUAGGGAAACUUACGCUAAUACCGCAUACGACCUACGGGUGAAAGCAGGGGACCUUCGGGCCUUGCGCGAUUGAAUGAGCCGAUGUCGGAUUAGCUAGUUGGCGGGGUAAAGGCCCACCAAGGCGAGGAUCCGUAGCUGGCCUGGGAGGAUGAUCAGCCACACUGGAACUGGGACACGGUCCAGACUCCUACGGGAGGCAGCAGUGGGGAAUAUUGGACAAUGGGCGCAAGCCUGAUUCAGCCAUACCGCGUGGGUGAAGAAGGCCUUCGGGUUGUAAAGCCCUUUUGUUGGGAAAGAAAUCCAGCUGGCUAAUACCCGGUUGGGAUGACGGUACCCAAAGAAUAAGCACCGGCUAACUUCGUGCCAGCCGCCGCUGUAA
rnacentral:rRNA from 1 species